GACGAACGCUGGCGGCGUGCCUAAUACAUGCAAGUUGAGCGAUGAAGAUUGGUGCUUGCACCAAUUUGAAGAGCAGCGAACGGGUGAGUAACGCGUGGGGAAUCUGCCUUUGAGCGGGGGACAACAUUUGGAAACGAAUGCUAAUACCGCAUAACAACUUUAAACAUAAGUUUUAAGUUUGAAAGAUGCAAUUGCAUCACUCAAAGAUGAUCCCGCGUUGUAUUAGCUAGUUGGUGAGGUAAAGGCUCACCAAGGCGAUGAUACAUAGCCGACCUGAGAGGGUGAUCGGCCACAUUGGGACUGAGACACGGCCCAAACUCCUACGGGAGGCAGCAGUAGGGAAUCUUCGGAAAUGGACGAAAGGCUGACCGAGCAACGCCGCGUGAGUGAAGAAGGUUUUCGGAUCGUAAAACUCUGUUGGUAGAGAAGAACGUUGGUGAGAGUGGAAAGCUCAUCAAGUGACGGUAACUACCCAGAAAGGGACGGCUAACUACGUG
rnacentral:rRNA from 1 species